rnacentral:lncRNA from 1 species
AGAUUUCACCUCCUUCUUGGAUAGAUAGGGUUCUUGAGAGUCUUCGCUUGCGCCGCUCAUUGUGUUUCUUGCUUUUGCUCCGUCGCUUUCUUCCUUUCUUCUCAGGUUCUUUCCCCCUUCCUUCCUCUUUCUCUGUUUUUCACUUCUUCUCUUUCUUCUUUAAUUGAAUAUUAAAUAACAGUGCAAGACAAAAUAGAGGUCACAUGUUGGUCUUCUUCUUACAAGUUAAAGGGUAUUUCUCUUUGGUUUUCUCUCUUAAUUACCUCAACUUUCAUUUUUAUUUUUAUUUUUACAAUCUUUCUCUGUAUAGAUUUUUAUUUUUUAUCCUUUUAUGAAAGUAUCUAUUUACCAUCUAUUUUGUUGCUACCGUCUUUUCUUCUAUUGUUUGGAUUUGCAGGUUCGCAUGGUAGCGGUUUCAUCUUCUUGCUCAGGUAUUUCGCUCUAUUUUCUCUUACUGCUAUUUUUUCUUUUUAUUUUGAAUAUCUCCCCUCCUUGAUCUUUCUUUUUUCUUCAAUAAAUUUUUUUUUUACCAUCCAAAAAUUAUCUAUCAUUGUUGUAAUUUUUUCAGAGAUGUCUUUUUUUAAAGAUCUCUGGUUGUUGGUACUUUUAAACGGGAGUUCAGUUUCUUUUUUUGUUAGUUUGUUCUACACAUACAGAGUUUAUGAAUCUAGGGAAGUUGGGAUGAAUUUUAAGUAUUUGAUUUUUUUUUUUUGCAAUAUCAUUAAAAUGUUUAGAUCAUUAUUUGACUUGUGUUUUUUUUUUUCCUAGAGUGUCAUUAUUUAACUUGGCUUAGUGUCUUUAUAGCUCGACAUAUUACUGUUGCUUGGGUAAACAUUUUAGCUUUAGGAAUCAGUGUUUUUUUAUUGCCUUGAAGAUUGCAGGGUGUAAAAAACACUUAUUUAUGUCGAUGUAUUCACCAAGAUUUAGUUCUACCUUUUUUUGGGAUGUCAUUUGCUUUAUUCAUAUAUAGAGGAGAUUUUUAUUGUGCCUAUAGCACAGCAUAUGGUAGCACAGGCCUAAUGUGGACAAGAUUUGCUUCAAACAAGAAGAUUUUGUCUAGGAAAAAAAUCAUAUGAUUUGCUUUAGUAUUUUUAUUUAACAUGCAUUUGCAUUAUAUUUCAGGUUCGAAUCUGCAGUUUGCAUUUGCAGUUGAUGUUUUUAGAGAUUUUAAUAGUUCAGGUUCCAAUCUCAGUCCUCCUUUAUGUUUUGCAUACUGUUUAGACAGAACUAUCCAAAAGAAAGAGAGGUUUAGCUGGUUGGAAUUCAUCAUAUGCGGAAUUUGAUGGUUUUUUUUUUGAUAAAAAAAUCUGGAUUUGUUUUUCUUUUCCCUUUUCUGGUUUUUUCAGUUGGCGUUUUCUUUAAUUUUGGUUUCUUAAUCAAUUUGCUUGAUUAAGCUAGAAUAAUAGUGCAUGCAUGCAUGUCUAUUGUAGUGCAUGUUUGCAUAUCUUAUGCUAAUUAUAUACAAUUUGCAUGUCUUCUUGAACAAUCAUGAACUCAUUUGUGAAAUUGAUCAUUGGCCAAAGUUUCGAGUUACCAAAGGCAUCUUGUGAUGAUACGUAUUUUAAUGACUAUUUGUUAAUAAUUGUUCUUAUAGUACAAAAAAUUAUAAGUCUCUUAGUAAAAUUUGUUGACAGUUUAUAUAGUGAAUCUCAAGUUGAUAAAUGAUCGAAGUUCUUUCUGCAAUUUUUUUGGUUAUAAUAGCAAUUUUAAUUGAUUUUUUGUGUUUGUAGGCAAUCAAAGGUUUGCCCAAGGAUAGGAAAUCUCUAUCAGAUGCUGGGCAGUGGCUUGAAGCAGUGAGUAAAUUAACAAUUUGAUUAAAGACUUUAAAUCAUAUCAUUAACUAGAAAAUGGAUCAAGUUACUGCAUAGCUAUAGUUUUGCCCCUUGUUAUUUUGCACUAAUUAGCUGGAUAAUUUCUUACUUUUGCUUCCAUUAAAAAGUGAAUUACAAUCUUAUCUUUACUUCACUGACCUAUUUCAAUUUAAUUCGUCUUACCUAUUUCAAUCUUUUGUGAUUACGGAUAUAGUUCCAUGCUUGAGAAAAUGACCAAUGAAUGACUUCAUAUUACCUAUUUCAAUGUGAUUGUAUAUUUCCUUUUGUAGACAGCAGCAUGUAGUGGCCCACACAGAUUCACCUGGCAUGCAAUAAAAUUAGUUUUAAAAGUUUUUUUUUUUUGAGUUUAACUAUUUGCUAUUUUGAGUUUUAGAUCAUUGUUGUCUUCUGACAUUGCCAAUUACUUUUUUUUUUGGUAACUUCUAAAAGUCACAUUAGGGACUAGGGGUUGCCCUACUGCAUUGAUAUGAACUGGAUGUGAAACUUUGGAAAUGCAUUCAUAUGUUUAGUGCUUAAUGCCAUUUAUGGUUUGGCAUAACAAAUUCUUCAGUUCCUGCUGAUCCUCAGGCUUUGUUGCUAUUGUUUUGCUUCAUAUUGUGUUUUCACAUACCCUAUGCUAGAUUUGAUGGUCUAAUAUAUUAAUUAUAAUUAUCUGUUAUGCUCUAAUAUGUUCCAAAUGUUUAUUACAAGAUAUUAAGAUAUGCAACAAAGUACAAAGGAUUGGAGAAAUUCUUUUUUCAAAGUGCACCUUUAUUUAGGUUCUUUGUUUUAUCCCCUGAGAAAAAGUUAAUCUAAUUUGAUUUAGUAUUUUUCUUGAUAGGACUUAUCAAUAUCUAUCUUAUGAAUCUUUGUUGUACAAACCAACCAAUUGCUUUCUGCCUAGGGGCAGUUUUUGCUUAAUACGACUAAUGUAAAUGGUUUUGAUGCUUGUAGGUAGUAAAAUAUUUGCCGAAGGAGAAGUACCAAAUAUUAGAUUUUUGGUACAGGCUAGGAAGUGGUAAGUAAAGUACCAUUUUUUUUAGAAGUAUUAAAUUAUGCAUUUAUGCUUGGAGUGGUCAUUGACCGCAUUACAAUAUUUAAAUUACCAUUCUUGGAGUAUGAAAUUUUGUGAAGGUACCAUGUUUCCUUUAGAUUUAGAGUCAGUUUCUUUAGUAUUUUACCGAUUUUAGUAAAUUCAUCAAUAAGAGGUUGCAAGUCGAGGUUUAAUAGCAUUUGCUUUCACCCUAUUUCAUUGAAAGUUAUGAUUACUGAUGAAAUCAUUAUAAAUUUUUUCUCUACUUUGAUGGUGUCAUUUUUGAAUUACUCUUUAGACGUAGUAAUUUCUAAGAAAAUGAUGUACAUUGACUGAUUGUAGCUUUUGUUACUCGCUGUCCUAUCCUUGGAAUGAUGUAAUUGAAAUGGCUAAAAGAACCUCUAAGAUAAGAUCUUUGUAUAUAGAAAAAGAAUGUUCAUGUGCUGCAUCCCAGUUGUAAGUUUAAAUAGUGCCGCCCUAAUUUCUGAUCAAAAUGGUGGUGAUUACCCCUUAGCUUCUCCACCUUUUCUCAAUUAGACAACUAGAAUUUUCAACACCUUUAUGUAAAAAAGAAAAUUAAAAUCUCAGAAUUACAAAAGAGAAUAAAAUUGCUUUUCAGGAUUUAAAAAAUAAACUCUAACAAAUACCAAACUAAUAUAUUAAAAUUUCUUUGUAGCUUUUGCUUGAAUCUUUUGGAGCUUUUUAAGAAAGAAGAGAAAAUUUUCUUUUAGUUUAAAUUGAUGUCCUAUGUUCAUUCAUGUUGUCUAGGUGAAAAUGUGGCAUGAAUGAAAUAUAUCUACAUGAUUUAUAGGCUAAAUCUGUUCUUUAUUUAUUUACCUAGAAUUCAUGUUUGAGAAAAAAUUGGCUGGCAAGAGGUAUUUAUCCAAAUAUGAUGGUGGCUCAGAAUGCAUCUGUUGAUUAUUAGCUUUCUAUUCUUUAUUUAUAUAUCCAACAUUAAUGUUUGAGAAAAAGUUGAAUGGCGAGAGGCAUUAUUCAAAUAUAAUGGUGGCUCAAACUUAGGAGUAGGGAAUAUGUUCUUGACGACUUUGUUUUAUAUUUCAUGCUUUAGUAUUUCCUUAAAAUUUUGCAAUGAAGUUUGGCAAAAACUGCGGGUACGUUACCUGUGAUUUAACAAGAUUGUCAUUCUACUAUUUAUACAAAAUGUUAUUAAAUUCUAAUAUAAUUCAUUCUUGGCAGAUCUGAUUGAUAUUUAGAUAGCUGGAACUUGGAAGCAAAUGGAAGCUCAUGGAGUUUUGUCAUGAAUGCUUGAUGCUUUGUUUUCUCCUUUCCAAUAUCUUUAGCAAAAUUCAUUAGUUACUUCAACAGCCACUUGUUAUAGUAUAGAUGAUAUUUUUUUUUUUGGGUUCUUCACCACUAAUACAUAGUUCCACUAGAAUUGGCUACGCUAGAUAAGAAAAGAAGAGAGGCAAUUCUAGAUACAGUAGUCCGUACUUUUGGAUGAAUGUAUCUUAUAUCUUAAAUUGUACCUUUUCACAGGUAAUGAGAUACAUCGUACAAUUGGAGAGUUUACCUCAAUUAUGUGUUAUUAUGCUCUUCAACUUUAUUAGUAUUA